rnacentral:rRNA from 1 species
CCUACGGGAGGCAGCAGUGAGGAAUAUUGGUCAAUGGGCGGAAGGCUGAUCCAGCCAUGCCGCGUGAAGGUCAGUGCCCUAUGGGCGUUAAACUUCUUUUGUGCGGGAGCAAUAAUGGUCACGUGUGGCCAGACGAGAGUACCGUACGAAUAAGCAUCGGCUAACUCCGUGCCAGCAGCAGCGGUAAUACGGGGGAUGGCAGCGUUAUCCCGACUUAUUGGGUUGAAAGGGUGCGUAGGCUGUGAGGGAAGUCAGAGGUGAAAUGCCCCCGCUCAACGGGGUGAAGGGCCAUUGAUACUGCCUGGCUGGAAUGCGGAAGCGGUGGGAGGAAUGUGUGGUGUAGCGGGGAAAUGCAUAGAUAUCAGGCAGAACACCGAUGGCGAAGGCAUCUCACGGAUCCGCGAUUGACGCUGAUGCACGAAAGCGUGGGUAGCAAACAGGAUUAGAUACCCCUGUAGUC